rnacentral:rRNA from 1 species
AACGAACGCUGGCGGCAUGCCUAACACAUGCAAGUCGAACGAAGUCUUCGGACUUAGUGGCGCACGGGUGCGUAACGCGUGGGAAUCUGCCCUUGGGUGCGGAAUAACAGCGAGAAAUUGCUGCUAAUACCGGAUGAUGACGUAAGUCCAAAGAUUUAUCGCCCAAGGAUGAGCCCGCGUAGGAUUAGCUAGUUGGUGAGGUAAAGGCUCACCAAGGCGACGAUCCUUAGCUGGUCUGAGAGGAUGAUCAGCCACACUGGGACUGAGACACGGCCCAGACUCCUACGGGAGGCAGCAGUGGGGAAUAUUGGACAAUGGGCGAAAGCCUGAUCCAGCAAUGCCGCGUGAGUGAUGAAGGCCUUAGGGUUGUAAAGCUCUUUUACCCGGGAUGAUAAUGACAGUACCGGGAGAAUAAGCUCCGGCUAACUCCGUGCCAGCAGCCGCGGUAAU